rnacentral:rRNA from 1 species
UACGUAGGGGGCAAGCGUUGUCCGGAAUCAUUGGGCGUAAAGCGCGUGUAGGCGGUUCGAUAAGUCUGCUGUGAAAGUCCAGGGCUCAACCCUGGAAAGCCGGUGGAUACUGUCGGACUAGAGUGCGGAAGAGGCGAGUGGAAUUCCAGGUGUAGCGGUGAAAUGCGUAGAUAUCUGGAGGAACACCGGUGGCGAAGGCGGCAUCCUGGACCGGCAUUGACGCUGAGGCGCGAAAGCUAGGGGAGCAAACGGG